UGGGGGUGAGGGUAGGGGUGGGAGAGACUACAUGCUUUUGGGGCUAAUAUUCACAUAAAGCAAGUGGAGAAGAGGAAGGGUAGAUCCUAUGUUUGAUUUUUUUUUUUUUUUUCCCCUGUAAUAGUAGAGGUGAAUUCAAUAAGCUGUUUGCAAUCAAGACCCCAAGUUUCCCAGAUUAGGUCCAAGUACAGCCCCUGUAUUCCCCACAAGUUCAAUGCCUUUUUCUUCCACAAAUUCCUUUGUUCCAAGCACUAGUCAGGUGCCCCCAUAGUAAACACAACCCAACAUUGUUUUUCCAUUUCAAGGUGCUUGGUUAUAUGGAAGGGAAUCAGCCUUACCAUCCAUCAUUGAUCUGUUCUUUGAUUGGCUACAUAGUAUUGAAAGCUUUUUUCAGAUGGUAUAGCUUUAGUGAAGAGUGAAAACUCUUUUUUGCAUAAACUAAACUCAAAGGUACAGCUAGAAUAUGGUGGGAAAAGUAUCAACAAACUCACUAUAUUGCCAUUCGAUCAUGGGAAGACAUGCGAAAUGCUAUGACUCGUUACUUUAUAGCACCUAAUUACAAGUAGCAAGCCCACUUACAAUUUACAUAGUUGGUGCAAGGAAGUUAUUCAGUUGAAGAGUAUAGCAACAAAUUCUACAGCUUGGCUAUGGGAUCAAGAUUCCCAUGGAAUGAAGAUGUGAUGAUUUCUAUGUAUCGCCAAAGUUUGAAUCCUAAUAUUUCUUCGAGUUUGGCUGCAAGUAGGCUUUAUACUAUGGCAGAUGCAAUUCAAAUUGCAUACCAAAUGGAAGAGGACUAAAAAGAAGGCCUUAAUAAGAGCUCCAAUGGCAAGCAAUAUUAGAGGUGAGAGAACAAUUGUGGAUGUUAAUUUGGAGAAGUCUAUUGAUAAGUCUCAAGGUAAUUCUUAUCAACCAAACAAGAAUGUUCGUUCUAAUACUUCUACAUCACAAGGGAGUAGUUCUAAUUCUAGAGCAAAGUGCUUUAAUUGUGGAGGUUUUGGCCAUAUGUCUUUUCAAUUUCCUUCAAACUUGCUUAGGUGAGUUGCAUUUGGAAUAGAAAUUAAUCUUGGCACAUGCUCAUAAUUACCAUUUGAUGUAGGAUUUUAAGCGGAUUUAUCAAGAAAUGCUUGUCAUUAGUUUUAAUUGAGUCCAACAGUUUUACAUUUAUUUUAUUUUACUUUGGUCCCAUGAAGUUUAUCUUUUGGUUAAUUUAUUUAACUAUCAUAACAUUUUAUUGAGUGUGUUUAAGGUCUGUUGAUGAGAAGUGGCUUAAUUCUGGAGUAUUCCCCAAGUAGCCAAUUUUGGACAUAUCUGCUACCAACUCAUGCUUAGCCAGCACGCAAUUCAUGCUUGGACAGCACACACACCCCUAGCCUCCGUCCCACACAUGCUAAGCACUACACAUAUAAAACCCUCACAUUCCUGGCUGAUGAAAAUGGAGGAGCAUCCAUAAGAAAACCCUAGUAAAACCCAUAGCAAAGAGAGAAAUCUCACUAGCCCUCUCUCAUUCUCUCCCUUUUCCUCCAUCUCCUACCCAAGAAAAACCUCCCAAAAACCCAACAAAAAAUCACCCCAAAUCCUCAAAAAGCGCACUGCAAGAAACCUAAAGGAGCAGCAAAGGACAGAAGAAAAAGAGGAAGAAGCAGACUCAAAACAUCAACAAAGAACCCAAACAAAAUCAGGAGCUUUUUCUCUCCCAUUUUUUUUACUCAUUUAUUUGAGUUUUGAUUUAGUUGAAUCUAACAUACUCAUUGUGUUUCCCUUUCAGCCAAGCAUUAACAGAACCAACAAUAACAAGAACAACCAUCAUCAAGCAUUAAAGCAGAAAGAAUAAAAUGGGAAAAGAAAAAGGGAGGAACCAAACAUCAACAAAGACAAGCAGAUUCAAAGCUACCACUAUAUGAAAAUAGAAUUCCUGCCAUAACGCCAAUGGUAGACCUAUAUUCCUCCACCGAGAGAAAAAGAGCAUUUGAAGAUCUGCAUGAAACAUGUGCACCACCAUCACUAUCGAGAGGGGACUCUAACAGGGCCUCGUGCACGGGAGCUGUCACCACGACAGGUGGUCAAAUGAGAGCCCAUGACGAAUGUGGCGGUUUUUCCGCUGCCAUUUCGAUCGAGGCCGGGCGUCAACAGGGUUGCUGUUCACGAUACUAUUCACAUUACUAUUCACAAAUACUAUUCACACAGCCCCUAAACAGCCUAACUUCACUCUAAUUCUUCUUAUUUCCUACCCUAAACGUAGGCAAAUCCAUAAUUUGCCUUACAUCACCUUGUCCCCCUUGGAAACCCUAAAAUCCUAUUAUUUUCCAACCUUUUCCCCCCACCAAAACCUAACCCUUAACCCUCAAAACCCAAGUGCUACCAAAUCUGCCAAGAAGUUUUAAAUGUGGUUUUGUUGAAGUUUUAAAUCAAAUUUUGUUGUUCCUCUUGUCCUACA